GGUUAAGCGACUAAGCGUACACGGUGGAUGCCCUGGCAGUCAGAGGCGAUGAAGGACGUGCUAAUCUGCGAUAAGCGUCGGUAAGGUGAUAUGAACCGUUAUAACCGGCGAUUUCCGAAUGGGGAAACCCAGUGUGUUUCGACACACUAUCAUUACGUGAAUACAUAGCGUAAUGAAGCGAACCGGGGGAACUGAAACAUCUAAGUACCCCGAGGAAAAGAAAUCAACCGAGAUUCCCCCAGUAGCGGCGAGCGAACGGGGAGCAGCCCAGAGUCUGAAUCAGCUUGUGUGUUAGUGGAACGGUCUGGAAAGUCCGACGGUACAGGGUGAUAGUCCCGUACACCAAAAUGCACAGGUUGUGAACUCGAAGAGUAGGGCGGGACACGUGGUAUCCUGUCUGAAUAUGGGGGGACCAUCCUCCAAGGCUAAAUACUCCUGACUGACCGAUAGUGAACCAGUACCGUGAGGGAAAGGCGAAAAGAACCCCGGCGAGGGGAGUGAAAAAGAACCUGAAACCGUGUACGUACAAGCAGUGGG
rnacentral:rRNA from 1 species